CACCUCAAGAUGAGUGCUCUCCUA
rnacentral:rRNA from 2 species